ensembl:lncRNA
CUAAGAGUGAUUACAGCUGUGAGUCUUUCUGGGUAAGUCUCUAAGAGUGAUUACAGCUGUGAGUCUUUCUGGGUAAGUCUCUAAGAGCUUUGCACACCUGGAUUGUACAAUAUUUGCCCAUUAUUCUUUAAACAAUUCUUCAAGCUCUGUCAAGUUGAUUGUUGAUCAUUAUUAGAUAACCAUAUUCAAGUCUUUCCAUAGAUCUUCAAGCCGAUUUAAGUCAAAACUGUAACUAGACCACUCAGGAAUAUUCAAUAUCUUCUUGGUAAGUAACUAAAGUGUAGAUUUGGCCUUGUUUUAGGUUAUUGUCCUUCUGAAAGGCGAAUUCAUCUCCUCAUUGUCUAUUGGAACACAGACUGAACCAGACUUUCCUCUAGGAUUUUGGCUGUGCUUAUAGCUGUCUACCGUUUAUUUUUAUCCUAAUAACUCCCUAGUCCUUGCCAAUGACAAGCAUACCCAUAACAUGAUGCAGCCACCGCCAUGCUUGAAAAUAUGAAGUGGUACUGAGUGAUGUGUUGUGUUGGAUUUGCCCCAAACAAAACGCUUUAUUCAGGACAAAAAGUUAAUUUCUUUGCCGAAAUGUUUUCAGUAUUACUUAAGUGCCUUGUUGCAAACAGGAUGCAUGUUUUGGAGUAUUUUUAUUCUGUACAGGCUUUUUUAAAUCUGUCAUUUAGGUUAGUAUUAUGGAGUAACUAUGGAGUAACUACAAUGUUUAUCCAUCCUCAGUUGUUUUCUCCUAUCACAGUCAUUACACUCUGUAACUGUUUUAAGGUCACCAUUGGCUUCAUGGUGAAAAUCCUGAGCGGUUUCCUUCCUCUCCGGCAACUGAGUUAGGAAGGACGUCUGUAUCUUUGUAGCGACUGGGUGUAUUGAUACACCAUCCAAAGCCUAAUUAUAACUUCACCUUGCUCAAAGGGAUAUUACACAUUUUACCCAUCUACCAACCGGUGCCCUUCUUUGCGAGGCAUUGAAAAAUCUCCUUGGUCUUUGUGGUUGAAUAUGUGUUUGAAAUUCACUGCUCGAUUGAGGGACCUUACAAUUAUCUGUAUGUGUUGGGGUACAGAGAUGAGGUAGUCAUUUAAAAAUCAUGUUAACCAAUAUUAUUGAACACGGAAUGAGUCCAUGCAACUUAUUAUGAGAUUUGUUAAGCACACUUUUACUCCUGAACUUAUUUAGGCUUACCAUAAAGGGGUUGAAUACUUAUUGACUCAAGACAUUUCAGCUUAAAAUGUUUUAUUAAUAAAUAAAAAAUUAGACUAACAAAAUUCCACUUUGACAUUAUGGGGUAUUGCGUGUAGAUCAGGUAUUGUGUAUUACAUUGUAAUUCAGACUGUAAACCAUUUAAAAUUCAGACUGUAAACCAUUUUAAAAUCAGACUGUAAACCAUUUUAAAAUCAGACUGUACACCAUUUUAAAAUCAGACUGUACACCAUUUUAAAAUCAGACUGUAAACCAUUUUAAAUUCAGACUGUAAACCAUUUUAAAAUCAGACUGUAAACCAUUUUAAAUUCAGUCUGUAAACCAUUUUAAAUUCAGGCUGUAACAACACAAUGUGGGAGAAGUUAAAAAGGUGUGAAUCCUUUCUGAAGGCCACUGUACAUACAACCGUUGCUAUGGGACCAAGAACAUUGCUACAGUACUGUGUUGUUUAUAGCACACUUAUUUAUACUGUAUCACACUGUAGAUAUAUGCCACUCAGAAAGCAUGCAGGACAUUAUUAAGGUCAUUACGGUAAGAUUAUAAAUUAACCAUAUGAAAUAAAGAUGAGAGGAAUAUUAAAACAGGGAUUUUACCACUGAGGAAGUCACGUGGUCUGUAUGACUAAUUUGGACUAGAUAUAUACCUUAUUCAUCACUGACUCCAUCCAAUCUACGUCCCACAUAAAGUAUUCUAUUGUGGACCCUUCAAUUUCUACCCUACUCAGUGAUAUUCUGAUAUAACAAUGUAAUAUUUAAGUCCGGAACAGACUAUCCUAAGGCUUUGUGAACUUUUGAGCGCUGUGCUUUAAUAUGCAAAAAACAGGUUACUAUACAAUACAUUGUCCUGACUGACACUGCUGUAUCCAUCACUGAUAUCCAUUCACAUCUUAAUAACUGCCAAAUACAUUACACUACAUUUUGUUUGGUCUGGAAAUGACUUUUGUAAAACUGUGUUGUCUGUCACCUUAAAAAAAAAAAAGACUUGAAAAGUGAUUAAAGAUCCAGGGUGAAUGUCGGAUGUGUUGUUGUGGUUAUAGUGAGCUGUUUGUCAAAUGGCAUCCUACUCGUCAUACUGUCUAGUGCACUACUUUUGACCAGGGCCCAUGAGCUCAGGGUCCAUAGGGUUAGGGCCCAUAGAGGUCAGGGCCCAUAGAGGUCAGGGCCCAUAGGGUUAGGGCCCAUAGAGGUCAGGGCCCAUAGGGUUAGGGCCCAUAGAAGUCAGGGCCCAUAGAGGUCAGGGCCCAUAGAGGUCAGGGCCCAUAGAGGUUAGGGCCCAUAGAGGGCAGGGCCCAUAGGGUUAGGGCCCAUAGAGGUCAGGGCCCAUAGGGUUAGGGCCCAUAGAGGUCAGGGCCCAUAGAGGUCAGGGCCCAUAGGGUUAGGGCCCAUAGAGGUCAGGGCCCAUAGAGGUCAGGGCCCAUAGGGUUAGGGCCCAUAGGGUUAGGGCCCAUAGAGGUCAGGGCCCAUAGGGUUAGGGCCCAUAGAGGUCAGGGCCCAUAGGGUUAGGGCCCAUAGAGGUCAGGGCCCAUAGAGGUCAGGGCCCAUAGGGUUAGGGCCCAUAGAGGUCAGGGCCCAUAGAGGUCAGGGCCCAUAGGGUUAGGGCCCAUAGAGCUCAGGGCCCAUAGGGUUAGGGCCCAUAGGGUUCAGGUCAAAAGUAGUGCACUACAUGGGGAAUAAGUAGGGUGCCACCUGGGGGACACAAUUCAUGUUGAAGUAGAUGGUUUCCUUCAGAGCUCUGGUCCUGUAUCUCUCCUUAGCCCGAAAAGCAACUCUGUUUUCUAUUGAAGUUUGUAAAAUAAGCGCUUUGAAAUAAAAUAACAAAUGAUAUCUCAUACUCUAGCCUGCUCUGGAAAUGUUUAAAAAUGCAAUUAUCGAUGAAUGAAAGCUUGCAUUACAUUACCCCAUUGAUUAAAGAUUAUAUUACUGAGAAUAGAUUUUUUCAUGUCAAUUGACUUCUUAACUUCGCAUGUUUCCCAAAUGGCACCCUAUUCUCUACAUAGGGCACUACUUUUGACUAGAGCACUAUGGCCCCUGGUUAAAAGUAGUGCACUUUGGGAAUAGGGUGCCAUUUGGGUUGCUGCCCAUUAAAUAAGCCUUGUGUUUUGAUUGUGUAACUGAAGGUCAGGGCUGUAGUUGAUCCCUGGACUAGUGGGUCUCAUCUUUACAAGCAUUUUGCUACACUCGCAAUAAUCAUUUGCCAACCAUUUAUAUGUGACCAAUAAAAUUUGAUUUG